rnacentral:lncRNA from 1 species
AGGCCAAGUGUGAGGGAAUGCUAGACAUUUGGUAAUUUCUCCUCCAACCAAGAUAAAAGAUCCCAUUGAUGCGGCUAAUCCCAUGCAUAUUGUAUGGACAUUUGGUCGCACAAAUUGCAUAGUAUCGUAAAUAGCAACAUGGGGGCGAAAAAAGGAAAGAGAGGGAUGGGGUUUCUCUCGCUUUUGGCAUAGCGGGCCCCUAGUGGGAUGUUCGCACGACGGGCUAUUAGCUCAGUGGUAGAGUGCACCCCUGAUAAUUGUGUCGUUGUGCCUGGGCUGUUAGGGCUCUCAGCCACAUGGAUAGUUAAAUGUGCUCAUAGGUGCCUGACACUGAGAUGUUGAUCAUCCAAGGCACAUUACCAU